GAGUUUGAUCCUGGCUCAGAUUGAACGCUGGCGGCAGGCCUAACACAUGCAAGUCGAGCGGCAGCGCGGGGCAACCUGGCGGCGAGCGGCGAACGGGUGAGUAACGCGUAGGAAUCUACCCAGUAGCGGGGGAUAGCCCGGGGAAACUCGGAUUAAUACCGCAUACGCCCUAAGGGGGAAAGCAGGGGAUCGUAAGACCUUGCACUAUUGGAAGAGCCUGCGUUGGAUUAGCUAGUUGGUAGGGUAAAGGCCUACCAAGGCGACGAUCCAUAACUGGUCUGAGAGGAUGAUCAGUCACACCGGAACUGAGACACGGUCCGGACUCCUACGGGAGGCAGCAGUGGGGAAUAUUGGACAAUGGGGGCAACCCUGAUCCAGCCAUGCCGCGUGUGUGAAGAAGGCC
rnacentral:rRNA from 1 species